rnacentral:rRNA from 1 species
ACUAAAGCUAGCCCAAACACAAACUCUAUUUGUAUAAAAACAAUAUAAUAGUAAAAUAAAACAUUUAUCGUACUAAAGUAUAGGAGAUAGAAAUUUUAAAAUUGGAGCUAUAGAGAAAGUACCGUAAGGGAAUGAGUGAAAGAAAUAUUAAAAGUAAUAAAAAGCAAAGAUUAUCCCUUGUACCUUUUGCAUAAUGAUUUAACUAGAAUAAACUUAGCACAGCGACCUUAAGUUAAGCCCCCCGAAACCAGACGAGCUAUCCAUGAACAGCUAAAAUGAGCAAACUCGUCUAUGUAGCAAAAUAGUGAGAAGAUUUAUGGAUAGAGGUGAAAAGCCUACCGAGCCUGGUGAUAGCUGGUUGUCCAGCCAAGAAUUUUAGUUCAACUUUAAAUUUACCACACAAAAUACCAAUUCCCAUGUAAAUUUAACUGUUAAUCUGAAGAGGUACAGCUCUUCAGACCAAGGAUACAACCUUAAUUAGAGAGUAAAUCAUCUUAAUAACCAUAGUUGGCUUAAAAGCAGUCAUCAAUUAAGAAAGCGUUCAAGCUCAACAAUUAUCCUUACCUUAAUAUAAUAAUUCUAAAUUAUCUCCUAAAAAUUUACUGGACUAAUCUAUAAUUUUAUAGAAGAAAUACUGUUAAUAUGAGUAACAAGAUUAUAAUCUCCUAAGCGCAAACUUAUGUCAGACCAGAUAAUAACUGAUAGUUAACAGCCCACUAAAUAAAACCUAAGAUUAAUCAUUUACAUUAAUUUUACUGUUAAACCGACACAGGGGCGCACCUUUAUAAAGGAAAGAUUAAAAGAAGUAAAAGGAACUCGGCAAACAUAAACCCCGCCUGUUUACCAAAAACAUCACCUCUAGCAUCAUUAGUAUUAGAGGCACUGCCUGCCCAGUGACAACUGUUAAACGGCCGCGGUAUCCUGACCGUGCAAAGGUAGCAUAAUCAUUUGUUCCUUAAAUAGGGACUUGUAUGAAUGGCCACACGAGGGUUUAACUGUCUCUUACUUCUAAUCAGUGAAAUUGACCUUUCCGUGAAGAGGCGGAAAUACACAAAUAAGACGAGAAGACCCUAUGGAGCUUUAAUUUUUUAAUCCAACAAACUUAUUAUUUACCCAUAAGGAAUAACCUAAUAUUCUGACUGGAUUAAAAAUUUUGGUUGGGGUGACCUCGGAGUAUAAAUCAACCUCCGAGAAUUCAAUACCAAGACCUACAAGUCAAAGUAAAAUACUAUACUGAUCCAGUCUAACUGAUCAACGGAACAAGUUACCCUAGGGAUAACAGCGCAAUCCUAUUCAAGAGUCCAUAUCGACAAUAGGGUUUACGACCUCGAUGUUGGAUCAGGACAUCCUAAUGGUGCAGCAGCUAUUAAUGGUUCGUUUGUUCAACGAUUAAAGUCCUACGUGAUCUGAGUUCAGACCGGAGUAAUCCAGGUCGGUUUCUAUCUAUUUAACAUUUCUCCCAGUACGAAAGGAUAAGAGAAAUAGGGCCAACUUACAAAUAGGCGCCCUCAAGCAAAUAAAUGAUAUUAUCUUAAUUUAAUUAACUUAUUACCUAAAUCGCUUUAGACCAAAGUUUUU